GGAAGGAAGAAGGGUUUGGAAAAAUGACGAAGAGAGAGAGAGAGAGAGAGAGAGAGAGAGAAUGAAAGAAAAAAUGAGCAAAAUUUUUGUAUGAUUUUCAAAAGGGGGAUCAAAAACAAAGUGGAACUACGAGGGGGAAUGAAGGAACGAAAAGAAUAUAAAGAAACGCAUCUUCGAAUCGAAAAUUAAAAAAAAAAAUUGCUUAGGGAUGUAUGAUUACUGAUGAAUUGAUAGAAAAAAAAAGAAAAAAAAAAAUAGAAAUGAACGAAAAAAAAAAAAUUAAAACGUCGAGCAUAGGAGAAAGACUACUUAGAUUUAUUUUUAUUAUGUCUUCAAAAAGACUUUAAAUAUAAUAUUUAUAUUGUGCCAUAAUUAAUAUUAACAAAACCUUAAGUAUAAAUUAAUUGUUACGAAAGUUUUUAAAUUUAUCGGAAGGGGAAAAUUGCAAAAACAUAAAAAAAAAAAAAAUAGGAGGAAUGAUAAAGAUGAUGAAAAGAAGAAGAAGAAAAAAAAGAUAUCUCUACUGUCUAAUCGAUAAUUGUAACUGUAACGAUAGUUAUUAAGAAAGAAUCAGGUCAUUUUUAAAUGAAUGCCGCAUUUACAAGAGAGAAGCUAGGAUUAAAGAUAUAAACAACAACGGUUGAUUCAUAUCCGCUCAUCAACAUGUACAACAAACUAAUUCGAUUCGUGUAGCGUGCGCCCUUUUUCUCACACACACACACACACACUUAUGCGAAAGAAGAACACAGAAGGAAAAUAUUGUAAAAAAAAGGAAAAGAAUUGAACAAUACCCGCCGUACUCUUCAGCGUGAGAUGUAUCAGUAUGGUUCUUGCCAAAAUUUGCGAAAAGCGCCAAAAAGCCCCCUUCGAUGCGAGGGGAUGAUAAUCAUCGACCCGUUUCCAGCCGAUAUUUUUCUGGGUCUUAUUUAUUCGUAAGUUUCAACCGUCCCGGACACAAAGCACGAUGGCUCUGAGAAACGGGUCGUUGACGCGGCACACUCGAAAGCACGAAAAGGGUAAACGCGUAUGCGAAGAUAAAAUUCGCGAUCGAGAGAGGACGACGUGUCGCGAUGAAACGCGAUCACGAAUGAUACGCGGAACGAACAGAAAUUCUCAACGGUGAUAAAAAGAAGCGGCGAUACAAGCGUCGAAAGGAAAUACCAUUUUCAUCGAUCGAGCAUUGGACGAUCAUUUUGAUCCACCGUUGAGAUUUUUCUUACGUUCGUUUUUUUUUUUUUUUUUCUUAUCACGGCGUCUGCAAAUCGGUCUCCAACCACGGAACGCCAACAACGGAAACCGUGUCGGGUAUCAUCCAUUCAUUUAUUAAUUCUACAUAUCGUCUGUGACUUUGUCCUAAUAUAUAUAUAAUACAUAGAUGCAAAUCGUCUCACUUCGAAAGGGAAAGAAAAGAAAAGAAAAGAAAAAAAAAGAAAAGAAAAGAGAAACCUGUAUUUUUUACGUUUCGCUCUCCCGUGUAAAUUGUAAAUUUCUGUCUUCUGUAUCUCUGAGUCUUUUGCCUGUUCAACGUUAUCACUGAUGUUUAUUAUAUACGAUCGGUAUCACGAUAUAUAUAUAAGAUCAUCGAUCAAUCGAUUACCAGGGAUAGUUUAAUCAAUUAGUUAGCUCGCGAGGAAGGGAAGAAGGGGAAGAGGAAAGAGGAAGAGGACGAAGAAGAAAAAAAAAGAAAAGAAAAGAAAAGAAAAGAAAAGAAAGGAAAGGGAAGGGAAGGGAAGGAAGAACGUAAUGUACGAAAUAUAUAUAUAGAUAUUUGACGAGGAGUCGGAUGGCACGUUAUGUUAACUUUUUAUGUAUAUAAAUAUAUAUAUGCAGAUAUGUACGUAUACAUACAUAACACGCAUAAAA
rnacentral:lncRNA from 1 species